rnacentral:rRNA from 1 species
GGAGUUAGCCGGUGCUUCUUCUGUGAGUGAUGUCCUUCCUGCCGGCUAUUAACCCGCAGGCCUUCUUCCUCACUGAAAGUGCUUUACAACCCGAAGGCCUUCUUCACACACGCGGCAUGGCUGGAUCAGGGUUGCCCCCAUUGUCCAAUAUUCCCCACUGCUGCCUCCCGUAGGAGUCUGGGCCGUGUCUCAGUCCCAGUGUGGCUGAUCAUCCUCUCAGACCAGCUACGGAUCGUCGCCUUGGUGAGCCGUUACCUCACCAACCAGCUAAUCCGACAUAGGCUCAUCCGAUAGCGCGAGGCCCGAAGGUCCCCCGCUUUCCCCCGUAGGGCGUAUGCGGUAUUAGCCUGGGUUUCCCCAGGUUAUCCCCCGACUACCGGGCAGAUUCCUAUGCAUUACUCACCCGUCCGCCGCUCGCCACCAGGGAGCAAGCUCCCCGUGCUGCCGCUCGACUUGCAUGUGUUAGGCCUGCCGCCAGCGUUCAAUCUGAGCCAGAUCAAACUCUGA